CAACAAAUGGUCUCGAUAGCUGUGCCGAACUAUGAGCUACCAAAGAAUGACCCGAUCCCAAUUUAUUUGAAUCUCCCUAGACAAUCAAAUAACUAUGAUUGCGGAUUGUUUGUAAUAAAAUGGGUAGAAAUGUGGAAUCCUAGUAGUAUCGAGAUUAAUGUGUCCAACAUGCCAGAAUGGGAAGAAUUUGAGUGCGUUAAUCUAAGGAAGCAAUUGGUCAUCUAAAUGCUUACAUCACCUUCAAAUGCACUUCUUAAGGAUGUUAUAAACAAAUCAGAGAAAUAUAAAGUGGUAAAGCUAACUCCAGCUCAAUCAAGUCCUUACAUAGUAUGUAAUACUGAUGAAUUGAUGAUCCAAUGCCUUGGUUCGGCUGGGAAGGGCUUUAGAAAGAAAGCUCUCGUUAAGAAGCGCAAAAACUGAAAUUCAAGACUUAGAGUUACCAUCUCUUUUUAGGGGUUAUUGGAUAUACUUGUUUUGUGUAUAACAUAGUUCAAGGGAUCAUUAGAUAUA